UCGAGAAUUUUUCACAAUGGGCGAAAGCCUGAUGGAGCGACGCCGCGUGGGGGAUGAAUGGCUUCGGCCCGUAAACCCCUGUCAUUCGCGAUCAACCCUUAGUAUUUAAAAGAUGCUAAGCUGAUAGUAGCGGAAGAGGAAGGAACGGCUAACUCUGUGCCAGCAGCCGCGGUAAUACAGAGGUCCCAAGCGUUGUUCGGAUUCACUGGGCGUAAAGGAUGCGUAGGUGGUGACGUAAGUCGGAUGUGAAAUCUCGGAGCUCAACUCCGAAAUGGCAUUGGAAACUGCGUCGCUUGAGGGUCGGAGGGGGGACUGGAAUUCUCGGUGUAGCAGUGAAAUGCGUAGAUAUCGAGAGGAACACCAGUGGCGAAGGCGAGUCCCUGGACGACUCCUGACACUGAGGCACGAAAGCUAGGGGAGCAAAUA
rnacentral:rRNA from 1 species